CUUCUUCCUCCCCUUCCCGUUCUACUGGAGCUUAGUUCAUUAUUUGCAAUUAAUGGGUAAGGGUGGCUUAUGUGCCUGGUAUUUUGUCAAACUGUCAUGCAUGCAGAUUUCAGAUUAUGUGCUAACUUCUUAGUAAUGUGUUCCUUGUCCAACUCUAAUCGCCAGCAAGAGAUUCUUUUCCUUUCUCUCUCUUUUUUUUUUUUUUUGGGGCAUCACCAUUUCCCAGCUGAGAUCUUCCAGUGAUAUCCUAAACUUGAUUAUUUUAUGCUGAGGAGAGAGGAAUGUGUUCUCACCAUCCCUCAUUCUCUCUCCAUUCCAGCUUCUUCUUUCCCACUUCUCCCAUGCUAAAGUAAAAAGGUACAUGUUGAAGUACUAUUUCACUAUUUUUUAGAGAAAAGUAAGAUCGGGGGAGGUAACUGAUAAUAGCAACCCAACAAGAAGGCAAAAUGAUAUAUCAGGCGAAAAAGUGAUCAUGGAUUAAUGGAUUUCCAGGUUAUGGACAGGUUUGUCUUGAUCUCUUACUUUUUCAGCCGUACUCAAAAUUCAACUAGCCUUGCCAAUGCCAUCCACGGCCUCCUGCAACAAGCUCUCAAUCUCAUUUUCUAAAUUUUUUUCACUCUCAUUAUAUCUUAGCUUUUGCAUAGUCAAUUUUAGCAAAUUUUACCUGAACUAUUGGACACGAUUGCAACGAGUUCAUUUUCUUACGUGAUAGGGUCGUUAAUUCAAUAUCUUGUACAUGCAACACUACAUUUGUUUUUUUUUUUUUCCAUUUUAAUUGACUAUACGAGUAAUCACUCUAGAAUCUAUAUGCAUAAUGUCUUUAUGAUUUAUUUUUUAUACACAAAUAAUAUAUACACGAUCACCAUUGAAUGCAUGAUAACUGAUUUGAAUGUUAACUUGAAAUCCAAAUUUUACAUAUAUAUAAUACAUCCAAUCGUGAUAAUAUAUACACCACCAAUAUGGAUAAAAUUAAUUCAUAUUUUUAACAUCCAUGUUUUAUAUGUUUCAAAAAGAAAUUAACACCUUAUUUCAUUUAUUUGAUUGAAUAUUAGAAACCUCCCUGCUGAAAGUAAAUUGUAAGAGUGUCAAAUUUGAUGUUUGCCGUUUUUUUAAAGAUAUGAACAUUAAUAAAGAUACAUCAAUCAAAGCUACCCCCAAAAAAAAAAGCAUAUAAAGGACAAAGGGUUUUAUGGCACAGACUUGCUAAUACAUAAAUUCCUUGAUUGAGUUCAAAACUUAAUGCACUUUCACCGACAAUAUGCCAAAAAUACCCUUACUCGAAGACUUUGGAAGUUCCAAGUGUUUGAGACUAAUGGGAUGCAUAAACUAUUAUGAAUUAAUCUUUUCUACACAACACAACAGUGUAUCCAUUGUCUGCUAGUUUUUGAUGAAUGACAGUAAUUCAAUUUCAAAUUUGAAUUUGAAUUGUCUGUAAAAUUUGAACUUGAAAUUCAAUUUUUUUGCACGUAUCAUUAAUCCAAUGGUGAUAGUGUACAUAUUAUCAGUGUAUAUAAGGUUUACUCAAAUAUUUAACAUUAAUUUUUGAAUUUGACCUAAAAGAUCUGUGUCACUAAUAGCAUGAAGAUGGAACUUAAACCUAAGAACAUGAUUAAAUAACCGUUCCAAAUUUUCAUGGAUUUAAAGGACGACUUGAUUUCUCCUUCUAACUAAUUAAGUUGGUCAUGCAUGCUACGAGGGUGGCGUGAUUUUGAGGGCCGACAUAUAGAAUAACAAUGCAAUUAUUGGUACUUUGGGAUUAAUCCCAGAUGCCUUUUUCUGAAUUAGUCUUUUUAUUAUUGUAAUUACUUGGAGUUAUGUUAAAAUUCCCUAUAGCACUUUAUAGUCCACUUGCUGCUAUGGGUACCAAAUGGAAUCCUAGUUGGAUUCAUUAUGUUCCUUCGACCGUCUUCCCAUUUGAAUAUGUUUUGCGUGCACGAAACACGUCCUUGCCAAAAUGCAAUUGGCGUUGCAAUCAUUUGUCUAUUGGUGACAUUUAUCUUGAGACCAUCAACCAUUGUAUGUAUCAAUUAUCAUGUCUAGACCUGAGAUUUGUGUCCAUAAGGUAGACUUAUCAGAAUGAGUCCAAGCGAAAGUGGUGCUAAUCUAAAUUAAUACUAUGCUCUUUUCGUGUUUUGUAUUUCAUGGUAGCUUAAAUAUUUUGUUCUGCUCUAUAUGGGUAAUCUUGAGAGUAAAUUAAAACUCUGAAUAUUCUCUACAUAGUUGACCCGUAAUUUCAUGCACAAAGCUAGCUCCAAGGCCUUAUUUUUGGCCUCUAACGUCAUAUGGUUUUUCUAGCAUACGGUAGCACUACGACCUUAUGCUGUGUACUAUUUUACUUUGUAACAAAUGAUGAUAGUUCCUUCACUAAAAAUGUAAGUGGCUGUAGUUUAGUGGUAAGAAUUCCACGUUGUGGCCGUGGAGACCUGGGCUCGAAUCCCAGCAGCCACAUUUUCUGUUUUAUAUGAUUGCACUUAAAAUGCAAUAAUUGUUUUUGAAACCUUUCUCCUUUUUUUUUCUCCUGAAUUUAGCUUGUUGCCAUAUAAUGGAUUAGAAAUUUACUUAAGAUAGAAUGGCGUCUCUAACACGGCCAUUGGCCAACCUAUUACAAACUUUAAUACUUGCACAUGUUUAGGUAAGAAUGGGUAGCAAUAAAGCCUUUAGGGGAUUGCCUUUAAAAAAAAAAAAACUUUAAUACAAACUUUAAUACUUGCACAUGCUUAGGUAAAUGGGUAGCAUUGAAGCCUUUAGGGGAUUGCCUUUAUUAAAAAAAAAAAAAAAAGCCUUAAGGGGAUUAAAUGUUUUUAACUGUGUUAUUCAAAAAUCACACUGUAAAAAAUUUGUUAGGUGCACAGUGCACCUACCAUAACCACCAACCACCUCGAUCACCACUAUUCAUCUCCACUACUACUAUUGCCCUUCCUCCCUCUUUCUCUCUCCUCUUCAUCCUCCCUUCUCUUUGGUCUUGGGAAGAGGUAUCGAUAGAGGAGGGGAGGAAAGAAAGAGAGAGGGGGGAAGAGUGAGGGAGAGAAAGGAGAAAGGAAAGAAAGAGCUAAACCCAACUUCAAAAACACUUUUAUCCUAAUAUAUUAAAUAAGAACAAAGUGUCUAUUUAAUAAGUUUAGACCUUCUAAAGGAUAAAAAAUAGGUAAAGUUUAGGAAAAUUUAACGUUUUUUGUGAACACAUUUUUCAGUUUUUUUUUUUAAUUAUAAACAUCAAAUUAUUAUGGUACAUUUUUCUAUAAAAAUUAAAAAAAAAUUCAAACAACACCUUACGAGUCAAUCAUAUUUGACCUGUAACAUUUAACCAUGUCUUGUGUAUACUUGUAUUAUGUAGAUAGUUAGUAAGGUUGGGCUGUAUUGGGUACUCAUCCUGUGCAUUAUUUUGUUGAAUCAACCAACACCUUAUGGGUCAGUCAUUUUCUGACUUUUACUAAGCCCAUAUAUUAGCAAGUACUUGGUUAACGAGUACCCAUUGAGGUACGAUCGAAUCAAUAGGUACCUGUUCUACCUCGUUUAUCAUUUAUUUUUUUUAAAAAAUAAUUUAUACUAAAAUAAUUUUAUAUUUUACAUAUUCAUAUAAGAUUUAAUAAAUGUUUUCUCAAAAAAGUUUCCUACCAUGAUUAUUAGUUUCAUCGUUUAUCAUUAUUUUACUUAUUUAGCUUUAAAAAUAUUACUUUGUAGUAUGUGUAUACAAAUAAAAAUAAAAAAUAUAUAUACCAAACGGAUUGGAUAUCUAUGGGUUCUUAAUCACGUAGCACUAACCCGACCCUGUAUAUAAGCGCGGAUUUUUUUAUUUAUUUUGGCCCAACCCUAGUAUUUUUUCUUUUUUUUUUUUGUCGAUACGAUAGAUUUCUACACUAAGGAGAGGAGGAGGACUUGAAAAGGUCUAAAAGUAACCCGAAAGGGAUUGAACCACUGGACUAGAUGAAUGCACUGUACACCCGUUUGAAGUUUUUAAACAAAGCCAAUUUUUAAUAUGGCGAAUUGAUGGGAGGCAACGUUUAAUGAACCCUUGUCUCCCACCCUACAAAGAUUUAAUGCAAUGAUGGUGGCUACCGGUCCAAAGGCAGUGGUUUUGGCCCAACCCUAGUCGUAACGCUGGAGCCAUGGUUGAUUUUAAUCUAGAAUUCUACUGGCAUCCGCGACGCUGGCUGCACUUUUCACUAGCCAGCCAAUUCCCCGAUACUUUCCACGUGGACAGCCGGUCGCCGCUUGCUUAAGGAGCCGUCAACUGAAAAUGUCUCAUCCAGACGAUGAGAAGACCAAAGACUUCUAAGUUUCAAACAUGCACGUUGUCGAGUAUUAUGGUGUAGUAUGGUAUAAUUCUACUCAAAAGUUAGUUAAACAAACAAAAGGAAACCCACCAGGCCACCACCAAUCCCCCACUCUAUCCGUCUAUCAUCAUCGAAUCUCAUCAAAGACAUAUCCCUUAAGAAACCAAACUCUUUAUUGAACAUCCAACUUCCAACUUAGCCGCACGGCUCGGCUCCUCGCUCUUAUAAUACCUAAGCACUAUAAGCAAUAUAGAAAUUGAACCCUAACUACUUUGACCAAAAAAGAAAAUAAGUAAUCAUAUUCCUACCUUUUUUCUAGACACGAUUUGGUAAUUUCAAGUUCCAUGACGGAGUUGGAAAUAUUUUCUGAGCGAAGGCACAAAUUAGCAAUAAAAGUUUGUGUAAUACUUCAAAGAAAUAAAUCUUAAUAAGAGUACUCGAUAGAAAUGUGGUGGACCAAUUUGUAACUUAAAGUUUAUUUGGAAUUGCAGCGACUUAUAAAAAAAAUACUUAAUUAGUAGAGGUCUCAUCAAAGUAUUUAUUAAGUGUUUAAUCAUAUUAUUUGGAUACAUAUUUGUAUAAGUAUUUUCUCUAUUUGAUAAUAUGCAAUUUUAAUCUCUAUUCCUAAAUUAAAAGAAUGAUGCUCGCUAAAUGCGUUAAAAAUUGCUCUUGUUAGCAAAAAAACCACAACUCCAAACGAGCCCUUAAAACUUUAAGUUUAAGUAGUUCUAUUUAUUUGUUUAUUUAUUAUUCAUCAAAUUAUUAUAACAACCAUGAUCUUAAUUAUUUUCACAAUUCAGUGGGGACACAAAUUUCUUAAGAAAUUCUAAACCUAUUAUAAGCCUUUUUUUUUUAGACCUUGCCAACACGUAAUGAAGGCAAAUAUAUAUAGUAAACAAAGUACAUAAUAAAAUCAUGCAAAAAGAUAAACAGGGCUUGAUUAUUUUAAUUUUAAAAAUACAAUCUUGAUAUUUUGACACUAAAUUAUAAGGCGGAGCAACAAAAAUUUUUAGUGAGGAAAUUAAAUGUGAUUUUCACAAGCUUUUGACAUGCAUCAAUGUCUUGAAAACAAUAAUCUCAACUGAUUCCAGCUGACAUAACUGGACAUCGUGAGGUGCUCAAUUAAAUUAGGCCUUCUACUUCUACUGCCGGCAUUCCCCUCGUGGAGGCCAAAAAAAAAAAAAAAAAAAACUACGAAGCUCCGAGUCAUAUUUUAUACUUCAAGCUUGGCUUAACUGGCUUUUGAAGCCGAGAAUAAACCAUAAUUGAGCGGUAACAACAACUAAAGGGCUGUCCCCAUUUAUUUAUCAACUAAAUUGAUUUUGCCUGAUUCAGUAAUAUGGUUGAAAAAUUCAUGCAUCCGAACAAAAUUACUCGUUCAAUUUGGGAUAAGAUUUCACAUCUUUGUGGGUAUAAUCCUAAUCAUUUUUACUUUUCCAAUCUACUCUCCUCAUCUUAGAAAUGCCCAUUUUUGUCCAUUCCUCUUUGUAUAUAUCUGUCUCUGACUCUGUAUCCUUCUCAUCAAUUUCAAGCUGGUAAGGCACCGGAUAUUUUUACGAGCUGGAAUUUACUGGUUUUGAAUGUAUAUUUUUCACUUUGAGUUCUGCAGGAAUUUGUAUAUAGAUCAAAACUUUAUCUAACUUCGGCUUUACUUCUUCUCAUAAACAGGUUUUUGAUGGCCAAAGUUGAAAAAGUUGCAGUGAAUUUGUCGAAGAUUGAAGGGAAAGAAAAGGGGAAAUUCUCAAAUUAAAUUAUUCAUUUCUUGAAGAUUAAUAGAGGGCCCAAGAAGAUUGAACCGCCGAAAUGUAAGUAUCAAUCUUUUCAUACUUCCAUUUUUUAAGUUCCACUUCACGUUUGAGAAUAGUAAUUUGGCUGUUCAAUUCCUGUUACGCAUUGCUUCAACAGUGGGUUUUAGCUUUUUGGUAAUCAGUAGCUUUCUACUCUGCAAACGGAAUAAAUUUUUCUUCGAUCAAUUGGUGAAUUGUGAGUGAUGAUUUUUUUUUUCUAAAAUUGUGGGAUGAAAAAUAACAGUGAAAUGGGAACUGUAAUGGAGCCAGCCAAUGAGAUUAGACAAAGAGGAAAGCAUUACUACACAAUGGGGCAAACUUUGUUUGAGAUCGAUACAAAAUAUGUUCCAAUCAAACCCAUAGGAAGAGGGGCAUAUGGGGUUGUUUGUUCUUCAAUUGAUAUGGAGACUCAUGAGAAAGUGGCAAUCAAAAAGAUACAAAAUGUGUUUGGGAAUAGGAUUGACGCAUUGAGGACUCUCAGGGAGUUGAAGCUUCUGCGGCAUCUUAAGCAUGAGAAUGUGAUUGCCUUGAAGGAUGUCAUGAUGCCUAUGCACAGGAGUAGCUUCAAGGAUGUGUAUUUGGUGUACGAAUUGAUGGAUACUGAUCUUCAUCAUAUUAUAAAGUCAUCUCAGCCGUUAUCAAAUGAUCAUUGCAAGUUUUUUAUUUUCCAGGUGCUGAUUCAUUUUGAGCUUUAAGUACACUAGAUUAAGUUUAUCCUUUUUAGUUCCAUGAGUUUUGUUAUUUGAGAAAGUUAUGGAUUACAAUUUGCUUGUAUGAGUACUAACUGCUGUUCUCAUCCUAAUGGAAGAGGUCUUAGUCACAAUUUUCUCUCUGUUUUUUUUUUUCUUAGUCACAAUUUUCUCUCUGUUAAAAGAAGGAUAGAACCACAUUAGCUACUAUAGAUGCGGUGAUCAACAGCCUUUUUGUGUCUUAAUUUUGAUAUGAACUUCUAUUUGAAACUUUUCUGCUUUUUUUCUUGUUUAUCUCUCCUACACUUACUUUCAUUUCUGAAAUUUGGGGGUCUCUCAUUUCAAGUUCUGAAUAAACUGAAUGAAUUCCAUAUCUAGCAUAACAUAUUUUGAUAGCUUUCCUGAUGAUUAACCUUAGAGUACUCGUAUAGCUUGAAAGCUUUUGGGAAAGACCUAUGUGUUAAAAUUGGUAUUUGACUUAGAAAAUGUAAUUAGUACAUUAGAGCUAGUUCGUAGUUUUAAGGUUUCCCCUGAUGGUGAACUUUGCUACUAUGCCUGGUGUGCCAGUUGUGAUAUACAAAACUUCAUUGUGUCUGAGGACAUUGGAACUAAUUUCAAGGCUUAUGAGUUCACUGUAUCCAGAGGACCAUGUAUUCGGGACUUUAUGCUCAUAAUCAUCUUCUCUUUUUCUAAAGCAUCAAAGAGAUAAGUAGAUAAGUAUAAAUACAAGUAGCAUACGUAGCAGUUAUUUUGUAAAUCCAGCAGAAAAGGUUGUAGAGGCAUUGAUCCUCUUCUGAGUGAAGAACUAUGGUUUCAAUUACACUUGAGAAAAGCUUCAAUUUUAUAUCUUGUGCCUGCAUUUCCUGUCAAGUUGCAUGCUUUGUCUUUUCAAAAUGUUUUCCCGUGGACUAUAUCUCAAAUUUAGAUUGGGUGAAUGGUGCAAAGAAAAGGUUUAUUUGUUGCUUUCUUACAUCAUGCUUAUCAUGAUGGAAUUCAAGACAAGGCAUGAGCCUUUCUUUAGUUGGACUUUCAGGGUUUAUGUUUUAUUUUCAAUCUAAUUUUAAUAACCUUUCUGAGCUUUCACGACAUAUGCAAACAGAAAAUCUUUUCCUGUUGAAGAUUAUUAUCAAUUGUUUCAUUUAACCUUCUUUUCUUUAAAUGCUGAUACGUUGCAAGAUUACUGUUCUUGUGAUUCUUGAACGGUCGCAUUCAUGGCUGUAGCCACGCUCUCACGUGAUCUUCAAUUCAAAAUGUUAGGUAUUAGAAAAUAUGAUGCAUCAAAAGCUCUUGAGUUAUUCUCCUUAAUUUUUUUGCUGGUCUGAUUCUCUGCUCCUGUUUUUCCCUCAUCACUGAAUUGCAAUGUGCAGCUUCUUUGUGGUUUACAAUAUCUUCACUCGGCAAAUGUCCUUCAUCGGGACUUGAAACCAGGAAAUCUCCUCGUUAAUGCUAAUUGUGCACUCAAGAUAUGUGACUUUGGAUUAGCAAGAACUGGCAAUGACAGUGGACAAUUCAUGACUGAAUAUGUAGUCACAAGGUGGUAUCGUGCGCCAGAGUUGCUUCUUUGCUGUGACAAUUACGGGACCUCUAUUGACGUCUGGUCUGUAGGGUGCAUCUUUGCUGAAAUCCUUGGCAGGAAACCAAUAUUCCCAGGAACAGAGUGCCUCAAUCAGCUUAAACUUAUCAUUGAUGUCCUUGGCAGCCAAACUGAAGCCAAUCUUGCAUUCAUUGAUAAUCUGAGGGCUAAAAAAUUCAUAAUGUCACUUCCUUGUUCAAGAGGGGUUAACUUUGCUUCUCUCUACCCCCAUGCUGAUCCUUUGGCCAUAGAUUUGUUACAGCGGAUGCUAGUUUUUGAUCCAUCGAGGAGAAUCACAGUGACAGAAGCUCUUUAUCAUCCAUAUUUGUCAGGUCUCUAUGAUCCAAGUCGCAACCCUCCUGCUCAGUUUCCUCUCAGUCUUGAUGUUGAUGAGAACAUGAGCGAAACAAUGAUCCGCGAGACGAUGUUGAGAGAGAUCCUUCUUUACCAUCCGCCACAAGUUACUUACACGAACACGAACACGGUGAUAAAUUUUUAAUUUGAGAAGCAUUUCUUUGGCACUAGACCUUUGGAAAAAGCAUAAAAGUUGUGGGGAAGGAAAGAAAGAACAAAAAGUACCAAUACAUUAUUAGUACACAAGUAUUGUUUUAGAAUCAUACUUGUUCUGUACCAAGCCUUGGAUACUUCUUUUUGAUUGCAUCAAUUUAUUAUUUAAGCCCGAAGGGGAAAAGGGACAGUGCAGUGGCAGUGAUAUAGCAGUUGAAUCCGAGCAAUUUGCCUGGAGAGUGGUGACUUCAAUCGCUCGACUCUUGGGCCAACCCUUGCUCCUCUAAGCUCUGAAUAUUUUGAUUAGUCCAGAAAUUUUUGAUCUAUGCGUUCUUUUAGUUUGAGAUCACUGCAGAAGUAGCAGCAUAUCAGAACCUAUAAGAGCAGUAGCUUCACACAUCAUUCCUUGAUGGAGAAACGGUCUUAUCUCAAAAUUAGUCCAUUAAUAAUCUUAAGAGUCGGCUUUUUUCCCCCUCCCUCCCCAUUAAUAAUCACAAGUGGUGGGCAUCUUUGAGGGAAUAUUAUGAUCAUCGAAGCAUAAAGCAGCAGCAGCAGCUAUAAAAGGCGACAGAAUACGUCAGUAUUAACUCAAACUAGUGGAUCUCCACUACAGUCUGACACAACGAAAGAGAUGCAUCAAUCGAGUCUGACAGGGAAAUCACAAAUUUUAAAAAGAUACAACAAUUUGCAGGGAAGUAUCUUAUCAUUAUGCAAAGCUAUAAAUUGAUCAAGCUCUUCUCUUAUUUGCUCGGUGUGGAAUAGUCAAUGAACACAAGCUUGUAUCUUUCUCCAAAAGCCCAAUCAAGAAAAUAUACAACACACACACACACACACACAUAUAUUACAUAUAGCUAAACUAAAAGCUGGCAAGCCAUCCAUCCAUGAAGGUGAAUGAAGUUUCUAUCUUCUUUCCUCUAACGUACAUCAGGGGCCCUUCGCCCAUAAUGUACGGUUGUCCGGCACGCACGAGAAGAAAUUAGAGAGUCUAGAAACACGUUUUGCCGGAAGCCUCCGCUAAUUGUUUCCACGUUGUCAUUUGGGACUCAUAAUGGGUCUGUUUAGAUAAACUAGAUUUUUUUCUUCCAAAUAUUAUUCAACUUGUGUCGUAUUUUUUUAAAGGCACACGUUAAAAUAUAUUUCAGAUAAAUUAUUUUUUUAUUUUAUAUAUAUAUAUAUUAUAUCAUAAAAAAUACUACGUUGUCAAUCUAAAUAAUUUUUUUUUUCAAAUUAUCUUUUAUCUAAACAUACCCGUUGCUUUUGCCCCGCUCCUAGUGUUCCGCUCCUAGUGUUCAAGUGUCGCAGGAUUGAAUAAAGAUGUUUUACCUAAAACCAUGGAUGCAUGAUACAGCCACUUCAACUUUGCCCAUGUCAGCUCAAUUUUCCACUAGUUGCUUUUUUUUUUUAAACAACUUUUUUUGUUUUUCUUUUUCUUUAAUCAAGAAGUGAAGAUUGGUUUUCUUACUCUGUUGUCUCCUAUGCGUAAUACGUGUUAGGAGAAAGCAAGAGAAAAAGUAAAUUUAAAAAACGUUAAACAAUAAUAAUAAUAUUGCUUAGCUUCUUAAACAUGACUUUGAUGAAUAAUAUAUAUUUUAUUUAUCAGACGUAAAACAUUUACGUACUACAACAUUCUUAAAUGCGGUCAAAAGUAAUUAAACCUCGUGCAUGGAUAAUGUAUAUCGCGUUCCACGGGAUGGAGAAUCCCUUUAGGCUUUAACCCCUGGAAGUUAAGUCAAAAGUCAAAAAAGAUGAACGAGGAAAAAUGGCCGAGCCAGCUUUGAAGUUGAUUGACAGUUGCUAAUAGAGGCCAAGUCAGAGUGAAGGUUCCCAUUUUCUGCGAUUUCCCUGUUCAAGCUGCACGGGAUAGGCUCCAGCGCCGCCGCCCCUUAUCCAAAUAUCCACCCAUUUGAUACAAUUGAAGCUUUAGCCACCAAACAACGUGCGGAAAAAAAAAAUAGCAAAUUUUUCCUUCCAAACGGAUCAGUCUACCUAUCAUGUGUCAACUAUUCUCUCACUAUUUCAACUGCUAAAAACCAAACAAAAGUUUCUUGAUACAUUUUCUAUUGGCACCAUCCCAAAAAAAGAAAAAAUUUUUUUUUUUGUUUUUUUCUGUAUUGUGGAAUUUAGAUACUACUCCACGAUAAAAGUAUAUUUGAAGAGAGGGAAGACUAGUAAGUGAUUGACAAUUCUAAUUAAGUCGGUAUGAGUAGCGCAAUUUGCUUUUGUCUUCACUUUUUCAGGUAAAAAGUAGUGAUUGAUGGCUGAUUUCUCUAAUUCAGAAGUAAUAGUACUAAAUUGGUAGUUUAAAUCAUAGUGAGGAUGGCCAGCUGGCCUCUGAGCCGUCACUUUAUGCUUCUCAAUGGGCCUAAAAAUGUGUAUAAAUUCCACAGCCAAAUUCUCCUUCCUUCCUCCCUCCCUCCACCUCCCUUCCUUCCUCAUUUCUUUUUGCAUUUAGCUUUGUGAGGUUCGGCCUCUGCCUCUCCCUAAUUUUCUGUUCCUCCAGGUUCUGAAACUCCCAGCUUCCACAAAGCCCGAAUAUUUCUUUUUCCCCUUGAUCCUCUACCCGAACAUUCAUGCGGCAACAGGCGUUUAUUCUCUAACCUUUGACAUUCAUGUCUCCUGUACUCAGCGAAGUCCUCCUCUCCGGUUUCACAAUCAGCUCCACCCUCCGCCGUACCCACUUGAUGCAAUCUUUCUCUGUUGUAUUCCUCUACUGGUUCUAUGUUUUCUCAUGAACUCAUAAAACCAUCAUAUUUACAUUAUUUUCAUUGACCAAAAGACUUCUUUGUCGUAAGUUCAUUAUCCAUAUAAUACUCCUACCCUUUAUUAUUUGCUUAUCUAAAAGACUGCAGAGUAGUAUUUUGCAAGAGAUUUUGUACUUUUUGGCAUAUAUUUUGCGCCAUGUCUUGUACCAGCGGAAAUUCAUCAGGGCCAAGCCAGAUUCAGAAUUCGGGGUCCGAUGAAGAUCCCCAACAAAUUAUGGACCUAAGAAAACGCAAAAGAAUGAUAUCCAACCGGGAAUCUGCUAGGCGAUCAAGGAUGAAGAAACAGAAGCACUUGGAUGAUAUGAUGGCCCAGGUGAAUCAAGUGAAGAACGAGAAUAAUCAAAUUCUCACCAAUAUCAACCUUACAAAUCAGCUUUAUCUGAACAUUGAAUCUGAAAAUUCUGUCCUAAGAGCUCAGCUGGCUGAACUCAGCCACAGGCUACAGUCCCUCAAUGAUAUCAUUAACUGCUUGAAUGCUACAACGAAUUCACCAGUUCUUGAAACACAGGACUCUGCUUUUGAUUAUCAGAUGAUGAGUGCUUUUGAUCAUGAUUUCUUCAACCCCUGGAAUUUACUCAGUGUAAAUCAGCCCAUCAUGGCUUCUCCAGAUGUUCUCAUGUACUGAUUCCUUCGGAGAAGUGAUCCAUUGCUUCGGUGUUUGGCUUGCUGAUGAUCGGGGUUGUAGACUUCUGGGUGCUUAGUGAAAUUGAACUAGAAUGUUGUCCUUGGUUUGUAAUUGAAACGAUUAUGUAUAUUAUGGUUGAUGUACUGCCAUUGCGAAUGCAAGUAAUUUUCUAAAUAUUAGAACAAAAUUCAAAGUCCAUUAUUGAGUGGAUUAGUUCAUUACCUAAUUACGUUGUUUUCGGUGUACAUCUUCAAGAAUGAUGCAAGGUUCGCACUCAUAAUAUAAUUUGUACUCCCAUCUUUUAAUCCUUUCAUAUAUGGUUCACAGAAAUUGUUCACUGAGUGCGAUGUGGAGAAUUUACAAUUAGUACUUUAGCAGCAAAAAAAAGGGUAUAUAUAUUGGAAGCUAAAAUAAAAGGAGUAUAUGUCAAAGGCGAUUUGUGUUGCUGAGGACGCCAAUGAGAAAAUUUUAAUUAUUUGAUGAUGACAUAUGUUUUAUCUACACAUUCAACUACCACUUUAGGUAAGGAUUAAGAUUAGUGGACAAACUGAUGUACCAAUAAACUACUGGCAGAAUUAGUGGGCGGACCAACAUAUAUUUCCAUUCAUGAACUAUACAUAUAUGGGCUGUUUGGCCGGGGCAGAAAAGAUUUGUUUAAAAAAAAUACUACCUCAAAUGAUGACAUCAUCUUGUAUUGUUUGGUAAUCACAAACCGACAGAUGCAUUUGACCUAACAAGUAGAAUUAUUAGUAUUAUACAAUUGUUGAAAGGAAGACAUCUUAAUCGCAUUAUGCGUGGAAAGUUAAUACAAGACUCGCAUAAUGCUCUGCCUCUAAUUGUUAAUAUUUUAGUUAAGCCAUGACCUCAAGGCUAAGGACAAAAUCUAUGAGUUUUCGUUAAUGUUUUGAAAAAUAACUAAAAUAUAAAAAGAGGUUAACAAAUCAAUAAUGUCAUCUCUUCUACACGAAAGAGAUGAAUACAAACCGCCUCGGUCGGAUGCUUAUUCAUUCUUUAAUCCGUUCUCCGUUCCACAGGACUCAAAUCAAUCUAAGAUUCCUUGAGAAAAUUAUUGAGCGCCCCCCCCCCCCCCCAACACACAACACAAACAGAACUUAAAAAGAAAUCGAUCAGAAGUUUCUUGAUUAAAGAACUUAAAGAGUAGAAUUAUUAGUAGUGAAAGAGAAGAAACACGUUGAGGUCGCAAUCCGACGUCUCUGUUAUUCUUAUCAGUUCCAUGUUGUUUUCACCUGUCUUUGAAAGAACAAAUAAAUGAACUGCAAGGCGCACCGAAUCAGCAAAAUCACUUUCUAGCCCAGAUUAAAGAAACCCCCAUUAGACUCUCAGACUCACUGUUGCAUGCAUGCCAGAUCGAGCAUAUCCACCUAUUGAAUUGAACCCUUUUAAGAGUUGUUCUGAUGUCACAAUUUUAUGUAGAAAGUAGGAUUCCACUCUUCAAGAUUCAAUGAAAAUCUCAAUUUCACAAUAGACGGACGAGAUUCAUAAAUUUUCAAGUCUUAAAAGGUUGAACAGAGAUGCUUCUGGUGCUUGUCUACUAACUAAAGAAUGCUAGAUCAACUCUACAGAACAAAAUGCAGUUACACGCUAUCUGUUCUGCACAGACAUUUGAUCUCUAUGUGAUUCAUAUUAAACCAGUCGAAUCCUUUUCUCUGGCUAUUGAAUAAAAUGAUGAUAUACGUACAAAAUUACUGGCAUUGAUUUUGCCAGCUGUUGGGCUUCAUCAGUUGAGUUAAUCUGGUAUCGACUUGACCAAACUUUGCCAGCAGUAUGAGCAGCUCAGCAUCAGGACCUUCUUGAUUUGUUUUCUAUUGAUUAGUGCAUCAGCACUAGGACCAGGGGGAAAAAGUAUGUUGGAGAGAUGCACGGAAAGAAAAAAUUAUUUGCAUGUUGUUUUACUUUGGCAUAGCCGUACGUGGUUUAAUUUUGCAGCCUGUUUUUUUUUUUUUUUUUAAAAAAAGAGUUAGGUCGACAAGUUUUCAAACUUCAACCAGACAUUGCUGUACCAUGUGGCCAACCCUUUUCGAGAGGACGCCCACAUGAUUUGAUCAGAAGAAAGAAAAACAAAAGUUGGUUUGUCUGUGGAGUCCUUGAGUGGGAAGUUAAUGGGUUUCGACUAAGCCAACCGACGCCAAAAAUUGGCUUGCUUAGGCUGCUCACUAUUGUAACUCCAUGGCUUUAUAUUAUUCAUGGAGAAUUGGCACGAGGAGUGGAAUUUUCUCCAUUUCCUUCCACCUACAGAAAUCUGGCAAACAGUUUUUCCCAUCAUAUUAAAUCUUUCCGUUCAACCCAAAGACCAAAAGAGCAAAACAAGUACUCUACAACCAAUCAAUAGUCGGUGUGGAGUGGAGUGGGACUUCCUCUCCCGCGCCGUAGGGAUUAGUCGGAUCCCGUAAGAAUUGAUCCGAACACCCCUGUGUCGACAAAAAAAAAAAAAAGUACUCUACAACCAAUCAAACUAUUAAUCAAUAGUAUAAUUUUUAUUUGAUUUCUCCUUCGAUCUGUAUAUGCAUCAAGGUAUUAAAAUCGCGACACCCGUAAUUGACACGAGACAGCAACCACGUCUGAUUGAAUUUACCAUGUGUGCCCGAAUUGUAGCAUGUUCAUUGAAUUGGUUCUCGAUCAUGAGUAUGGGAAUUUGUAAAUUACAUAUUCAUCUAUCUUUAGUACAAAAACAUGCUUUUGACCAAAAAGAAAAAGUAUAAAAGCAUGCACCCUAUUAGAAAUCAAGUUUAAGCAUUUUCUUUUUUCCUUUUUUGUUUUGAGUACAUCAAAACUUAAGUUUAGAAUGCAAAAAUCUUAAGGCUACUCAAUAAGUUAUUGGUGCUUAGUCAAUUUUUAUAGUUUGAUCACUUCACGUUUGGAUUGCUAUUUAUAGGAAUUUUUGUAGAAAAAUGUAUCGUAAUGAUUUGAUGCAUGUACAGUAAAAAAAUGAACGAAAAAUGUGUUCUCGAAAAAUAUAAUUUUUUUUUGCAAAAAACCACAAUCCAAACAUAGAUAUCCUUUAUUUUUUAAGAUAAAGUUUGGGUGAGUUUAACUCUGGUCACCACCAUAAGCAUAGGAUACACUCUUUUGUAAGAAAAUGAUCCGUUCUUAUCAAUUGAAUUAACUUGUGUUGGCUUAAAAAAAAAAGAAGAAUUCCUCUCUUAGCAUGUUCAAUGUUUAAUUGUUUAAGUACCAAAUGCAAGCAGCAGGACAGACGUGCAUCAAGUCAUCAAAAUUUACAUGCAUAAAUUGUUUGGGAGGAUUGAAGGCAAAUAUUUUCGUCAAUAGUACAUUUAUAAUUUUUUUGAAUAGCUUUUUUUCAUGCAUUGUCAGUGUAUAAUUUUUUUACAUUAACAAAUUUAAAUCAUAUCGCAUAACAUGAAUAAUUCAAAUCAUGCACAUGUAGCAUGCAUCCAAAGUUGCUAGUGUAAAAAAAUUACUACAUUGUCAAUGCAUAAAAAGUUAAUUCUUUUUUUUAAUUAAUUGAAAUUUCACGUUUCAACCACGUAAUAGGCUCAUAUUCUAUUGACAAAAUAGGGAAACUGGCCGGGCAACUUCUUGAAUGUAAGAUACGAUCCUCUUGUAUUGGCCCCAAACUACUCCGUGCCCAAUGGGCAUAUCACCGAUGGGCGGUGGCCCAAUAAGAGCUCUUAAGUUGCCGCCAAAUCCCUGAACUUUUCCUCUAAAUCCCAAAAAUGUCCUCAUCCCCAUCCUCAGAGCUUCCCCUUCACCCCUCCCAAAACCCUAGCAACUGGCGCUUCACAUGGGAGGCCCAAUCUCACAUCCCAACCGUCCGAUUAUAUCUCUUCAACCCCCACAUCAAACCCUCAGCUCAAUGCAUCAACUUAGAGGUCGACUUAUCAGUGGACCAGUCUUCACUCCUCGUCAGAUUCUACCAAGCAGAAGCCGAAGCCGAAGCCGAAGCCUGCACUUCAUUUCGGGUCCCGCUCCCUAGAGUUUUAAUCGACCCGGAGUCACCGGUUCAGUUCACAGCUUAUGAUGAUCAUAUUCAUGUUAAACUCGCUCUGCUUCUUCCCAUUGAUCAUCCUCUUGUUUCGCAAUUUGAUUCCUCGUCUGAUGAGUACCGGCCACUUUCCACCGAUUCCGGUGAGCUUAUAACCAAUCACUUAAGAUGGAAUCUUUUUAUUCUUUUUGAUAUUUCUAUUCGCUUAUGAAUGAUUUGCUGUUUAGGAGCAUUUGUCAUUUGGUUUUAAAUUUGUUUGUGAAUAUGUUUUAUUCUUUUUUGGAACAAAUGUGGCAAUGUCGCUGGUAUUUUGCUUUCAAGAUGGAUGGUGGAUGAUUUGACCUUCACUGCGCAUAAAGCUGUGACAUUUACUUUUGAACAGGUCAUUUUGCGAUGAAUAAUUGCUUGACUAAAUGAUGUGUGAGCUGAAAUAUCUUUUAGCUUACCAUUGUCCUUCCUUUGCAAUCUGGAAGAAAGAAUAUGGAAUUGCUCGUGCUUCUAGUGUCUGCAACAUGAGUUCACUUGGCUUUCAAGUUUUAAGGGCAAGUUGGGUACAGAUUGGGAACCCGUGAUUAUACAAUUUUCCUUUUUGUCUAGAAGUCUUUUCUUUUUUGGGCACUUAUUCAAACACUGACCCAACCUUUUGGUUUUAUUUAUUUAUUUAAUUUUUAUUCAAGUUGUAGUAAUCAUGCACAAGCUAAAUUGUCAGUCAUACUUGUCAAGUUGAUUUAGGUGGAGCUACAGAGUGGAGAAUGUUAUUCGAUUUGUAGUUAGAAUUAGGCUGAGGAUAUUGUACACACGGGUGGGUGGAAAAAAGUUUGUGACAUUUGAUAUUUGUUUCUCUUGUGAAGGAAAAAUGGUUGUGUUUAAGUUUAAAUCACCGUAUCACUUUUUCUUUGUCUAUUUCAUUUUGAAGAUGACGAGCUAACAUGUUUUAGCUUAAUAUUUCUGUCUUUCCUUUCAUGGCAUCUAAGAGGUAUCUUUGGAAGCUCAAAUAUUGUAUCUUGUCAAUCUGUGAUGAAUCUUUUUGUUUCCAUUUAAUUUUUUCCUUUUUUAAAAUUUCGUUUGGUAUUUGUAAUCCAAGUGUAUUCCUAGUAAUUAUGGUUGUUCGUUUAGAUCUAAAGAAUUUAUCUGCUUUGGAGGAAGUGUACUUUUACUGCAGAAGUUGCUCAGCUAAGUUGACAAGAUCUCUCAGGUAGAUUCUACUUCGAACAUUUUUGGAGGAAAUACCAAAAUCCUCAUGGGUGCUGAUUCUUUCUUCUAUAAAUAUUGCAUUUUCAUGUAUGAGACAUUUAUGAUUUCUAGAACAUUUUUGCCCCCCCCCCUCCCCUCCUUCCCCUUUUUUCCCCUGAAUCACUGGCAAUCUCUUCUUUGCCAGUUAAGUCCUGUACUCUUCUUGUGGAAGGGUUACCUCACCUCCUUUCAUGGUACGGCCCGGUAGACGGCUAGAUUUACCAUUGGCUUGGAAGACCUAUAGAACCUACAUUCAGUUUGUUCUUUCUUUUCCUGAACAAAUAGAUGGAAUCCUACCUUGUUCAUUGGGAAUUUAUUUUACUCUUUCUUAGAUUUUAUUACAAUUGUUUUAUGCAUUAAAGGAUGUCCUUUUCUUGGCUGAACUUUCCAAAUUAUAUAGAUGUUUCAAGGAGAUGCCAUCAGUCAAUUGGCAAGAAGCAGCAGACAAUUGGUUUGGGGCUUGUUGUUGUUCAUUUGGAGGUAUCAGUGAGAAGCUGGUUAGAAGUUAUGCAAAGUCCUAUACAUGUGCAGCAGGUGUUUGUCUCUUAGAUACAGAAUCUGUCAUUUUGUGCAAGGACGAUCUUGUGGGAUGUGAAUUUCCUGGAUUUAAUUGGAACCAAAGUGUUGAGUUUAAUCUGAAAUUGACUACUGACGAUAUUUUGGUCAAAGCUUCCUCAGAUGAUGCAAGUAAACAUGGGCAAACUGUCUGCUCUGAGAAUGAUGACUUUGGGAGGGAGGUCAGCAAUGGCAAGGAACAUCAUCUUGGUUCUGAGGAAGAAAACCUCAAAGAGAAACUGAGGCAUGAAGCUACUGGAAAUGCUGGUGAUUGUGGUAACUUAUCUUGCCUGUCUUCACACUUACAGACUGCAGAAAACAUGGCAACUUGUCCUGACUUCCAUGCAGUUAUGAAACAUGAUCUUGGGUACUGUGAUAAUGGAUGUCAUAGUCUUGAUCGUUUAGAAAUCUCUUCAGAGGAAAAAUCUGGAAGGGAUAUUGAACUCCUAGAGCAUCAGAAAGUAUUACUUAAUGGCUUUCUUUGGAAUGGUUUCCUGGCAAGAUCCUCCAAUCUUUCAAAAGAUGUUAGGUGGGUCGAAUUCUUGUGUCCUCAAUGUUCUUCCCUACUUGGAGCAUACCCUUGCUUCAGUGAUAGUAGUCCAUUGGACAGUGGAAUUCGCUUGUUUAAAUGCCACAUUUCAACCACUUUACCUGUUGGUGGCUCCGGUAAUACGUUUAGGUAAAAGACUUCUAUUUAUGAUUGCUAUCACAAGAAGUGUUGUAAGUUUUGUGCUUGUGACAGUUAUGAUCAUUUAUUUGUUUUUCAAUUGUGGAAGGACACAUACCCAAUGCUCUUAUAAGAUGUAUAAGAGUAGGUCUUAGAAGGAGAAAGUCAUCUUUCAUAAGUUGUUUAUUUGUAAGUGGGUCUGUUAGUAUGGCUCUGAUGAUAUGCUGUGGAUACUUUGAUUUCUUUUGGGUUUGACAUUUUAGGAAAUAAAUCCUAAAUCCAUCAAAGAAAACGACUUCUAUCCUUUUUUUUCCCAAAAAAGGAAGGAAGUCAUUCAUUGGAAAUAAGAAAAGAAAAUAUUGCUAUGGCUUUAAACACUGGCUAUUGGUAGUGUCACUAUGCCUCUUCCUCCAAUUGGUUAGUUUACACUAAAACAUCUUCAGCGCUCUUUCACUUUAGUUAGUUGGCCAGCAGAACUGGGUGUUACAUUAUAUUGGGAUACUUUCGCCUGUUAUAUUAUGUGUUCAGCAUCAUGAAGGGAAUAAAGCAUGCAAGUGAUGUUGGUUAAUUAACUAUUUACUCUUCUUCAGUAUGUUGGAACCUUUCCUAAUGUCCUUUAUUAUUUUUAAUUAAAUCUUUCUUGGUCUGAAUUUUGCAAAGUUCAAUUUUGUGCAGAUGUUAUAGCUUGGAGAGGAUGUUUGCAAUUCAGUUGCUGGAAAGUGCAAAAGAUGAAUUAUCAUUCCGGACUGUUGUGAGAGAUAUGCAAACCAAAUAUCCUAUGCUGCAAAUUGUUCUGUUGAACCCGGAUUCUUGGUGCUGCAGUGGAUGUUGUUUGUACUCCACUGAAUCAGCUUCAAGGAAAAGCAUGUAUCCAACCAUCAAGGUGCUAUUUUCUGCCUGCUGCAAUGAUGAGGAAAACGAGUCUAGGUCAGUUAUUCAAAUGCAUUUGAUCUAUUUCGUGCAUAUAUUAAGGCAUUGUUUGUCCACCAGUUGACAGCAGAGUAAGUGUCAAUAGGGUAAUAUAGCGAAGUGGUCUUCAAUGUACAAUAAUUAGUCAUCUGAUUAAAUUUCGACGUGGCUGGAAUGUGUUAUCAUACUUUUCCCAGGGGCCUUUCUUCUUUGAGGAGCAAAUGCAUCUAUGAUUGAUUUUAUGGAUUGGCUCUAGAAAGAUUCUGUAAUGGUCACUGCUUAAACACAGCUUAAUAGCAAUCUGUUUUUCCGAUUUUGACUCUAUCCAGAAUUUAUUUGGCCAUGGUUGAAUCAUGUGCAGGAAGCUUGAAGAAUGGAUUACCAAGAAUCAAGCAGAUGAAGUGUACAUGUUGCCAUCUCAAAUAGGAAACUUGAUUUCCUAUUUAAAGUCGGCUAAUAGUAUGUACCCUCCAUCACAAGUUCCCCUGCAGAAUCUGUCCCUGUCAUCCAUGAGAAGAUAAACAAGAUACGGGAGAUUUUGAUCUCCAACAAAAUCUUAUUGUGGUCGGUUUGCAUGAGGAGGAUCUGAAAUCCCAAAGAAGGCUCAGAUUUUUAAUCUUGCAAGUUCUAUAGAAUUGUACGCAAUUUCAAGUUGCCAGAUUACUAGGGGGCUGAUCUGGCUGUCAUUCUGUUCCAUGACCAGAGGUUUAAAAAUCUCCCUCCGACUAUGCACGCUCUUUCAAGAGGAAAAAGAAGCGUCUAGGAUAUUGAAACUUACAGUUCAUCAUGGCAGUGCCAGUACGAUUAUAACACCUACCAUUAGAGGCAUUUGAAGCGUAACUGGUGCCCUUGCCCGACAGAGAGGGUGGAAAAUUAGGGGUUGCAAUGGUAUGCGGAGCCCGCAACUUACGAGGUAUGGGAUUCUGUGAUCGAGUCAACAACGACGAGACGCAGUCCCUGCAUACAUGAAUUUCCCUUUGUUCUUUGGUGGGACUGGUAUAUAUGUUUGCUUUGUUCUUUGGUGGAAAAUAAAAAGCUAUUAUUCCAAAAGAAAAAAAGUAAAUUAUGCUGUCUAAUUGGUGAUAUGUUCUUUGAAAAUUAUUUCGUGGCAAUCAUUUUGUCUCGGAGGAUAUUUUGAAUGCUAACAAAUAUUUUGGCUAUUAACCUUCUCUGUUUGCUGAUUACUUGAAAUUUACAACUGCAAUAAAGCCAUACAACUAACCACAAAAACAACCAACCAUCUUAAGCUUUAAAAAACUUCAUAAGAGAAACCAUAAAUCUAAACUUAAGACACUACAUAAGAGUAAAAGAGAAGAACUAAAAAUCAUCAUGCAUAAUUUAAGAACUACAAGGAAAAGUAAAAGAGAAGACACACUAAUGAUAACCGCUAGGGGUGGGCACGGGUCGGGUACCCGCCCCUAACAUGAUUUGGCUGACCCGACCCUAAUAUAUCGGAUCAGCCAUUUUGCGACCCUAACCUGCUCCUAAUAUUUUCGGGUACCCGAAAAAAAGGGGCGGGUCAUAGGGUACCCGCCCCUAAAAAAAACUAUUUUUCAAUAAAAAAAAUUAUUUUCUACUUAAUAUCAACAUAUUUUUCAAUAAAAAAACAUGCUUUUCCAAUUAAUAUUGGUAGAGAUAUUGUAAUUAAAGUCCAUACAUCACCAUUUUCACACAUUUCAUCCAAUAAUCAAAUCAAUCUCAUAAAUUUAGUACAUAUUAGAAUAUCUAAUGGACAAAACGAAGUUUCAUAAUAAUUUUGAGUACAUCACCAUUUUCACACAUUUCAUACUUCUACAACACAACAAACACAAGGAUAAUAAGUAUUUGGUAACUUCCCCAAGGAUAUUAUGGUACAAGACCGCAUCUCAAAUAAGUCAAUUGUGAAAUCAAGUUCGGAAAAGAAUUGAAUAGAACUAAUUAUUUUUGAAAAAAAUAUAACCAAAAUAAUGUUAAAAAUCUUCCCCAACUUCUUUACAUCUUUGGAAUAGACCUUAUGGUAUUAAGGUGAUGAAAAAGAAAAAUAAAUUUCUUGCACUAAAUAAAAGAGACAAAUUUAAGAGAUAUAAUUGCAAAUGAAUGACACAAAUAUUUUAAUUAUCUAGCUAACAGAAAAUUGAGACUCCAAACAAAAAUCUUUGAUUGAAUUGAUGCAAGAUUUGCAGGAAAGAUCGAUGGAGAUAGAAUAAAAAUAAAAAAGAUGAAAGGGAUGAACAAUUUUUAUAACAGAGUUUCACAAAUUUUUUUUUUCAUUUUGUUCAUGUUUCACCGAGAAUAUUCACUUUCUUCAAAAAAAAUGAGAAGAGUAGAUCAUAUAGGAUUAGAAUAUGAGGCUGCGAGCCACUUCACUUGCACUUAGGAUUAAAAAUUACAAAAUUAUAAAAUGAUCCCUACUUUUUAAAUAUUUAUAAAAUAUACCCUGCGGGUCGGGUACCCGCGGGUUUUUAUUUUUCUGAUCCGUAUCCGUACCCGAUUUUUCGGGUACCCGACCCUCAUCUGCCCCGCUAAGAAAAAUCGGAUCGGGUAUCCUAUUUUUCGGAUCGGAUCGGAUCGGGUUCAUCGGGUUUUCGGAUCGGCGGGUUUUUUUGCCCACCCCUAAUAACCGCACUUGAAAAGGAAAAAAAAAAAAAAACACGCGUGCACUACUAAACGUGCUUUUCUGCGACUUUUUGAAUUAUUCACUACUUGAAAAAUUGAUAGGAACUUUAUUAGUGGAAUUGACCACUAAAAUUCUUACAUUUUGACUGCAGAAGAAACAAAGGAAGUUCUUGUAUUAAUCCAGAAGGAAUGACUAAUUCUUUCGUAAAGGUGAAUGACACCUAUGUAACAGACGAAGAAUACAACUUGUAUUAAUGGAUUCUUUGGACAAAGCUUAUAGAAUUUGCAUACGCUUUAACAAGUCAAAUAUAUCUGCCAUUGGACUUUAUGCUUCCUCUUUUUGAGAGGUCAAAAGCCACAAAGUAUAAAAAGAAGAAUAUAAUGUCACAAGAGUGGAGAAGAAUGCAUUGUCGUAGUAUCAGCUGGAGGCAUUAAAAUCGCAGAAAUAAAUUUCAUGCAAGAAAUCCUUUUAGCAAGAUGUUGUGUCGACUGAACUUUAUCCACCUUCCGAAAGUGGCUACAUGAAUGGGCUCAUAGCAAUUAUUUUAAGCUUUAAAGAUCAUGGCCUUGAAAUUGAAUGGGUGAUGACAGUAGAUUUUCGGUUUCUUGGAAUAAAAUCAACAUUAGUGGUUGAAUUAUUUGAACUUGAUUCCAAAUUCUAUACGUUUUUUUGGACACGAUUCUUUUUCCCCAAAUGAGUAAACUUUACUUAAAUUUUCUAGAAAUAAAAAGUAGAAUUUAUUUUAUUUUAUUUUAACAAUGAAAAGAGGUCUUGGUUUUUUUUUUUUUUUGAGAAACCAAUUGCUCAACCAUCACAUUGCAUAUUAUUAAUAGCUUCCUAAAACCGUAAACCUAACCUAUAAUCCAUAUGAUUUGAUAUUUUGUUCAGAUUGAGCCACACCAUUACGUAUCUGAUCCCAGACAACCCACCAUGCAUGUAUUGCUCAAUCCUAAUGAAUCUGGGUACUCUAAUAAGUGUAGGACUUGGAGUUUUAUUAUUGAAACGUUAUCAUGUUUUUAAUUUUUGCUAAUAAAUACGAAGUGCUGGCAAACCAGUAUAUUUACCAAGAAUCAGAAUACCAUAAUGCCUCUCAUUUCACAAUUUUAUACUCGUGUCUUUCUUUUGAUCUUUAAUUGACUAAUUGAUUAGUGAAAUGUAUAUAGAUUGUCUCACGUGCUUUUUCCGAAUGUCUCUCAACGAGUCGGAUAGAGGUAUAUUCAUGAUGGAUUUAAAGAUUAAAAGGAAUGAUUGAACUUGGCUUGUGUUUAAUAAUUUUUUGAAAGAAUUUAAUUGAAUUUGGUUUGAAAUUUCAGAUAUAUAUUCACAAAAAGUUUGGCUUGACUUAUCAAAAUAUCGAGUUCAAAUACAUACAAUCAAAGCUUGGCUUGUCUUGAAAUUUCAUAUUAUAUUAUAUAGAGAUUUUCACCCUAAUUUGUUGCUUUUUUUUUUCCCUUAUUUUUUGCCCUAUGAUAUUCAAGAAAUCUAUUACAAUGAAUUAGUGAUGUGAUUAAAGUUAAUUAUGCCUAUUUAAAAAAUCUAUUACGAUGAGUUAUGGAAGUGAUCAAAAUCAAUUAUACCUAUUCAAGAGAUAAGAGUAGUAUAUCUAUUCAAAAGACAGCUAUAUUUUAUAAGACAAGUAAUAUACGGGAAGGAAAGAAGUGGGGUUAAAAGUAUUAUAUGCUUGCUAUAAAGAUAAGAUAAGCAAUAUAUAGGAAGGAAAGGAGUGGAGUUAAGAAAGAAAACUUUAUAUAUAUUUUUAUCAAAUUUGCUUGCCGUAAAUGUUUAUGAACACAUCGAGCUGGACAACGUUUCCCACCCUGAAUAGAUGAAAGCUUAUACCAUCCCACUCUUUUUAAUUUGAUUAAUCAGCUGGAUUCUAAUAUUUUAGUAGGAUGUAAUAAAUUUUUUUUUUUUACCUAGACUAGGUUGCUAAAGAUCGUACAGAGUAGUACAAGUAGGUUAACCAAUUUCCCAUGAUCAUUAAAUAUUUGACCAAUUUAGUAGGUAAAGAACAAGAUUCAACCAAAGUUAAGCUCAAGGCUCACUUAACUAGUAUUCUAUACCAUGUAGAAAUAAAAUUUACUUCUCCAUUCAAUUAAAAAUAUGAACUUUCAUGCAUGCUUAUUGUUAUAAUUAUGACAAGUGUCACUUAAAUUUUGGUAACACCAUAAAAAUGGCCGCUAUAGCAUAAAAAUAUUUAAAAAAAUGGUCGUACAGUUAACAAAAAUUCAAUCUAUUUUUCUCAAUCAUUUGCAAAUUUAUGAUUUUUUUUUUGGCCUUCUUCUCUAAUUGGCUGUGAUUUGUACUCAUUGUAUUUAGUUCCCAUAUUGAAAGUCAAAAAAAAGGAUAAGGGCAUAAAAGAAAUAAGGAUAAAUAGGUAUUUCAGAUUUUAUGAACUAAUAAGGGCAUAAAGAGGAUAAGAAAAUUUAACACCACAAAAGUAAAAAUACUAAACGAUACUCAGAAUGUGUUUGGUUUGCAUUCCAAAAUCACAGUCAUAAAUCUUUCAUCAUUUUCCAACCUUGUUGCUCCAUUUAGAACCAAGUUGGAUUUCAUUCUAGUAAUUAUUUAAUCAAUUUGAAAUCCAAGUCAUUACAAAUAUUUUUGACACCUUUUUCCCAUUAACGGAUUUCCAUAAUAUAUAGUUUAUCAAAUAAUAGAUAUAAAUAGCCUCAAGAAAACAAUAGAUAGAGGUAUCAUUAACUUCAAUGCUAAUUCCUAACUCAUUUGCCAAAAACCCCUAAAGCUAACCAUUACAAGUAUGGAUCCGUUAGGAUUACAAGCAUGGCAACCAUCCGCCUGUCUAAUGACCCUAACCAGCGCUAUAAACAACGGUCUAAUGAACCUAAAUAAAAUAGUGCUGUAAACAACGGCCUUAUCAUUUCAUUACUACUAGUAAUACUGCAAGUGCUUUGCUCGUGGUUAUAUUUUCCCAAACUUUUAUGUAUUAUUUAUAAUGGAGUAUUUUGUGAAAUAUUAAUCAUUAAAACCAUAAAAAUUUUUCUUUCCAUCAAUCAUGCAUAGGGUGUACUUCAUCCCUAUAUAUAAAGAAAGAGUGGCAAAUUAUGAUGUAUUAUUAUUCAUGCUAACACAUAUGAAGUAAAAUCUGUUGAGUUAUAAUUUUCGGAUUCAACCUUCAAGAAUGUAGCAAAAAAUUAAUUAACUUUGGCAAGAGAUUGCACAUCUUGAGUGCCAAAUACAAAACAAGAUCUGUGGAGUUAUAAUUUAUAAAUCUAACCUUCAUAAACGGUAUCAAACAUGAUAGAGUUCUGGCUAUGUAGAGAAGUUUAUCUUGAGCUUCUCCUUUACAAACCAUUAAUACAAAUUAUGGCAGUACUAUGUUGGUUCCUUUUUAUAAUUUCGCCAUAUAAAGGCAGUAGUAAUAACGUGUGCAUGAUGAUGAAACCAAAUAAACAGAUAAGACCGGGACUACGAAACCAUAUUGUCAUUUGGGUACAUUGGUGCGUUGUAUCCUUAAGGUACAUUGAACUAUAAACGGAUAUGAGUAGGUGUGUGAUAUAUUGCUACAUUGUAAAUUUCUAAUAAUAGAAAUUUUUUUUUAGUAUGUAUCCUUAAGGCACACGAUAAGCCUACAAAAUACAAACGAUGGACCAAUUUCAAAUUUUAAAUAUCAUUAUCAACCCCCAAAAUCUAGGAAACUUUAGCAAUAAAUUUUAAACUUUUCCUUAACUAAUACCUGAUCCACCCCUUAAUUAUCAUGUGUUUUAAGGGUACAAAGAAUCCUCGUAGAAAUAAUAAUAUAUGGUAUCUUAGAACGAGGGAAUGCAAAUAAUAAGCACUUAGAUAAAUUUAGAGAUAAUUACGGUCAGCAAAUUUGUAUCAUAACCAUUCAUUACACUAUUCUUCCCAUACUUUAUCUUUCAUUAAAGUUUCUAACUAUGUUUUUGGCCCAUUAUUUCUGAAUGCAUUUUGAUCUAACAAUUUAUUUUUCUGAAUGACUUCUUAAAGAUCUUAAUUUACCAAAAUUAAUAUUGUGGAUAUCUCUUAUGUUCUAAAUUAAACACGAGUUCAGCACAACCAAAAUUUACACACAAAAUAGUUUAGAUGUUUGAGAAUUAAGAGUAUUUUUCAUGCUAACCUUUCUUCUUCUUUUCCUCCUCUAUUAGAGAUGUCCUUUGAAGUGUGUGCUGGAUGGACCUGAUUGAAUCACCUUAAAAAAACAAAAAUCCAGGCACAAGCAACUUAGCCUCCUUUACACUCAAAGAACUCAAAUGUUCUUUUUGGUAUUGUUUGAAUUUUCUUUAUUAGCUUUAUAUUUAAUUGUUUGUUCACUUUAUGCCAUUUAAUUAUUGAUUUUCAAUUCUAUGGAGCUUUCCUUUUUUUUGUGGAAAGUUUUGUAGUUUCUUUUGGGCAUUCCACUAAUCUGUGUUUUUAAACUCGGACCGGAUCGGACGAUCCGACCGGUCGAACCGAGAAGUGUUUGGUCCAAGUUGUUCUUCAAAAUCGAAAGACUGAAAACCCGGACAAAAAUCGGGUUUGACCGGAAAAAAACCGGUUCAACCAGAGCAUUUUUUAAAAAAAGGUUAAACUUUUUCAAUAUUAUGUUUUGACCCCUAAAUUUUUAAAACUUAUUAAUAUACCUCAAAUAUUUCAUACUUUAUAAAUGUUGUCCUAAAAUUUGAUGUUAUUUUUCAAUCAAAUCCAUAAUUUUAAUUCUAAACUUAUUAAUGUUCAUUAAAUAAUAUAAAUUGCUACUUGACUGUUCUAAUUUCUUUGUAUUUUCUUGUUAAAUAUAUUUGAAACAUCAAAUAUAUAUGAAUGUACCUUUAUUAAUAUUAACAUACUUUUAGGUAUUUUAUAUACAAUAUUUUAAUUUUAAAUAAUUUUUAUUUAUGACAUCAUCCGGUUCAACCCCGAUCGAAGCCGGUCGAACCCAUUGACCCCUGACCCCUGAGUUUGGCCGAGUCGAUAUCCGGUCCGAGUCUGAAAACAUAGCCACUAAUGAGAUUAAAUUUGCCAUUGGAUAUAGAAUAAGAAUUAUCAACCCUUAAAUUACUUCAAGAGUCUAAAUCACUGAAUGAUGCGACAAGAUAUAAAAGGAUUUGAAUAAUGGGUACUGUAUCCAAGAGGAACUGUAAUAUUUUCCUUUUUUUAGCUUAUUUGCUUGUUCUUCAUAAUGAAUUUUAAUUAUUGCAUUGUGUUAUUUCAUUUAUGCAUAACUUUUUAUUAUAACAAUUAAUAACAUGAUUGAUAUUCAUUCCCUCAUCAUUAUUGAAAUGCAUUAUAAUUAUUCUAUAGAGGGUAGUUUAGGUAUUACAAAAAGUAAGACAAAAUCUGUUUACACUACCUAUACUUCUAGACCCAUGAUACUUUUACAGGGAGUAUAGACAGAGUCGUGGCUUUCUUUUGCUCUUGAAUUGAUUACGUAAAUGACCAAUAGGGGUUGGUUCGAGUGGUAAGCAGUUUGGAUUAGCUUAAGCAUGUUUCGUGUUCGAGUCCUAGUGUACGCAGACACCCCUGUUGAAAGACUCACCCAUCAUAGCCAGGUGUGCGACGCAGGUCGGGUCCGGAUUAGUCGGGGCAAAGUUCGGAUACCGGGCGGUCAAUCAAAAAAAAGAAUUGAUUACGUAAAUGUGCAUAGCUUGUCCCACAUGUUUUUUUUUUCCCCAAAUAUCCUUGAAUAGCCAAACGAAAUCUUGUACCGUUCCACUCCUUUCAAAUUGGUUAAUCAAUUGGAUUAACAUUUUUUUUGGCCGGAAAAAAAUUUCUAUAGAUCGUGCAUUUUAUCAUUGAACUAGUGCAAAGUGGAUUAACCAAUUUCCCAUAGGUCGAGCAUAGCACUACUACUUGAUCUAUAAGACAUUCAAAAUUUAUCUUCCUCUCUCAGAAUCCUUCUUCGUCGAGGACAUGUAGCGCAUUAGUUGAACGCAGAUUCCUUAGAAUGCAUGGGAACUUAUUCGUUUACGAAAUGGGCAAUCGAGAGAGAGAGAGAGAGAGAGGCAGGAUUAUAAUUUCUCGAAGGGCCAAGAUCGACCAAAGGGUCGUAUGGCAUUUUAUGCAUUGAUCAGAAUCUCUUCAAUAUUCGUUGCUUGGUUAUAAAUAGAGUUUGGGAAUGAUCAGUUUUUGCAAUGCAAUGCAAUGGGUUGAUAGGAAGGUAAGAGGAAGAGAGGCCUUACAUGAAGGUAAAGGUCCUCAUUUGGUAGCCAAGGAUGACUUGCCUGCUCCACCUCAGGGGGUUUCUCUAAGUCCACAAGUAAACCCUUUGUCGUGGUCGCCAGGAAGUCUCCUUGGCUAGCCUGAGAGGCUCUUUUCUCUCAUGCUAGGUCUUCUUUUCCCCUGCAGCCUCUGCCACCUCCCAGUCCUUUAUGAUUUUCUUUUAUCUCUUGCAAUUAUUCAAUUUUCCAUUAACUCCUUCAUCGUCGUGCUUUGCAGUUUGAGUACUUGCGAUGAUUGACAAAGCAUUGCAGUUUGAGUAUUAACUUUUGUUUAUCAGAAGCGUUGAAAAAUUUUCAUCAUAACACCGAUAUUUUGCAUUUCGGUACGUAAAAGUAUGUCUUGCAUUGUUUUAGCAUCAGCCAUCGUCUACUCCUCGGAUAAAUGUCAGUAAGAUGGAUCGUCUGUUUCAACAUUCGACCAGGUUUUACAAUAUUCGAUCCGACAAAUUUUUGUUUUUUGGGGGGUGGGAGGGGGAGUAAUUUUUGUUGGAGAAAACCUUACAAGCGCACAAAUUUUAGUGCCCCUAUUCCCUGUUCCCUAGCAUUUAAUUUGUAAGCCAUGUUUACUAAUCCUUCCUUUCUGUCUGUCUUCUUUUAUUUACAGAUCAAUUGUUUUUUUUAAAAAAAAAAAAAAAAAUCUUUAUCAAGAAAACAAAGGUGAAGUUCUUUGAAGUAUUCGGAGCAGGACUCCAAACGUAGUAAGGUGCCUAAGAUUCUCAUGUAAUGGCAAAAUCCAAUUAGGUCACGAAUGAAAUUUAAUGCAGGAACGAGGAACGAAACAAAAACCGUUCAUGGGACGUGUCAUACAGCAGCACUAAAAGUCUUCAAACAGCUCUCCGUGCCUUGAAUACCCAACAUUUUAGCAGCACACUUGGACGAUUGUGGGCAGAUGGCAUAUUUCAGCAACACAACUACUUACAAAUCCAGAAUAUAUUAUCAUGGAGCAAAAUAUCAAUAAUAUAUUUCUGUAUGGGUGUGAUCCAAUGCCCACCAAGCCACCAUGUGUACAUUUGCCUCCCAAGGGCCGGGCCCCAAAGAUUUAUGGAUAUACACUGUUUACAUCCAAGCCACGAUUGAGGCAUUUAUGUCCGGAUCCCUUUAUUUAAUCCAUCCAUUGAACCAAAAAUAUCCUGCCAAGGAGGGGAGCCUUCAUGAAGCUUUCGUGGGAGCAUUAUGAUGACGAUGCGGAAUUUUUUUUGUCUCUUAAAGUUCUCAUACGCGGUGAAGUGUCACCUUACCUAGCUUAUCACUCAUAAGAAGAUCUUUGAUUAAAAAGAGCGUUUUCAAUUGACCAACCUUAUCUACUGCCGACAGAGGACACUUGUCACUGUCAUGCACAGCCACGUAACAUCUUGCAAACUGACGCGGUGUCGGUACUGCAUGAAUUCGGCUUACACCUGGAACGCUGUUUGUGGCUCUUCCUCUGCAUGCACCGGCAAAUCCUCAUAACUUUACUGAUCUUUUUGGUUGUUCCCUUUCUUCUUCAGCUUGCCUAUAUAAAAACAGGGUUCCGCUGCAACUAUUUCUCGUCAAAUCCACCCAUUUGUGUGAAGAAGUCUUAUCAGUCAGUCUCUGAUCUUUCACCUUUCAUUGAUUUGUGUUCUAUAUUCUACUUCCGCUAGUAGUUGAAAUUUGGCAAUUAAGAUGGCACAAUACGGGGCUGAAUAUGGCAACCAAAAGAGCCAGUACGAUGAGUACGGAAACCCAGUUCGUCAGACAGACGAAUAUGGUAACCCAGCCCGCCAUGGAGGUACCAUGGGUGAUUAUGGAACCACUGGCACUACUGGAGCCUAUGGUGGCACAGCUGGAGCACAUGGGACUUAUGCAACUGGAACCACCGGCACUACCGGUACCGGUGCGUAUGCCACCCAGCCUGGCACUGAUGUGGGGAAGGAGCACCAUGGCCUUGGUGGCAUGCUUCAUCGCUCUGGUAGCGGUAGCUCUAGCUCGGUAUGCCCUCCUAAUUAAUCUCGUCUUGCUUAAAUUGUACUGAGUUGUAGUAGCAUUUAACAAAUCUUGACCAGCUUGUGAUGACUGGUAAUUAAAAAGUUCUUAUCUGUUUUCUUUUUGUUUUUUCGGUUGGGAUGCAGUCCGAGGAUGAUGGGCAAGGCGGGAGGAGGAAGAAGGGGAUGAAGGAGAAGAUAAAGGAGAAACUGCCUGGCGGUCACAAGGAGGCUCGACCUGGACAAGAAUAUUCGAGUGCUACUACAGCUCCUGGAUACGGCGGGGAAGGAGAGCAGCACGAGAAGAAAGGAAUUAUGGAUAAAAUCAAGGAGAAAUUACCAGGGGGUCACAACAACUGAAGAUCUAAUUCUAAUAAUAUGGGAUCCAAUUAUGAUAUUGUGUACCCCUAUUUUCAAUCUCAAUCUCAAUCUCGUUCGUGUCAUGUUUGUGUUUUCUGAGAUUUGAGUGUGUGGACGU
rnacentral:lncRNA from 1 species